GCCUCUGUAGCUCAGUGGAUAGAGCGCUUCCCUCCGGAGGAAGAAGUCGCAGGUUCAAAUCCUGUCAGAGGCACCG
rnacentral:tRNA from 1 species